GAUGAACGCUAGCGGCAGGCCUAAUACAUGCAAGUCGAACGAUAUUUUCCAGCUUGCUGGGAGAGAAAGUGGCGCACGGGUGCGUAACGCGUAUGCAACCUACCUUUAUCAGGGGGAUAGCCCGGAGAAAUCCGGAUUAAUACCGCAUAAAAUCACAGAACGGCAUUGUUCAAUGAUCAAACAUUUAUGGGAUAAAGAUGGGCAUGCGUGUCAUUAGCUAGUUGGCGGGGUAACGGCCCACCAAGGCGACGAUGACUAGGGGAUCUGAGAGGAUGGCCCGCCGAACUGGUACUUAGACACGGACCAGACUCCUACGGGAGGCAGCAGUAAGGAAUAUUGGUCAAUGGAGGCGACUCUGAACCAGCCAUGCCGCGUGCAGGAAGACCGCCCUAUGGGUUGUAAACUGCUUUGAUCCGGGAAUAAACCUCCGAUCGUGAUCGGAGCUGAAUGUACCGGAAGAAUAAGGAUCGGCUAACUCCGUGCCAGCCGCCGCGGUAA
rnacentral:rRNA from 1 species